CUGAGCCCCCCGGAACCUGCCGGGCUUCAGGCACCAGGCGCUCUGGGAGCGCUACAUGGCCGCCAUCAGCGCCUGCCUGCUGCGCAUGUUCCACGACUGAGCGGCACCCCGAAACCCGGGAACGGCACCCCAAAACCGGCACGGCUGGGAACGGCACCCCCAGGGGGUACAGACCCCAGAACGGCACCCCGAAAUGGAUACAGACCCCAGAACGGCACCCCAAAAAUGGACACAGCCUCAAAAACAGCACCCCA